rnacentral:lncRNA from 1 species
AUGAGGUGUCCGGAAUGCAUCUUUUCUAAGAGUAAAAAGGACCCUUCUUCGGGCCCUCCUUCGGCAGGUAACCUCUGCCACUUAUUAGAUGGUAGCUUCAGGAAAGUACACUUUUGGUGUCUGUUCUUCACCUAUAAGACAAAUGUAAUCAUUCCACCUUUUGAAGAUGAAAUGGUUUUAUAUGCAAAGGUGCUUAGAAUGGCGCCUGAUACACAGCAGUUCUCACACGCCAGCUGUUCUCGUUCCUCCAGUUGCGGAGAAAAAGUGACACGGGUUCCCUCACGCCAUGAAGUCUGCCUUCCACCCCACCUCUGCUCUGUCCUAGGCCGAAGCGUGCAAAUCCAGGUCAGGCGCCUCCCGCCGGACCUGCCUCAGGCAUCGGGGUGGGGAUCACCACUCCCGCCUCUCCUCCGGCCCCCCGUCAGUGUGUCUGCAUCCCCGCCCUCACCCCUCACGUACUGCUGACCCUCAGGGCUCCGGCUCGUGUGGGUGCCCUUGGCCCUGCUCUCCCCGUUGCCCUCUUUCCAGAGAUGCCCACCUUCACAGCUGGUCUGCCUCUCCUGGACACCUCACAGGCACGUGUGCACAAAGAAAAUCUCCCCCUUUCCUCCAAACUCCUAAUGCGCUGUUCCCUACCUGGUAAAUGACCUAACUUGUGUCAGAAAUCUCUAAGCCACGGAGUUCCCCGGACUAGGAUCCACAACGAUGCAGGUUUGAUCCCUGGCCUCACUCAGCGGGUUAAGGACCUGGCAUUGCCGUGAGCUGUGGUGUAGGUCGCAGACACCGCUUGGAUCUGGUGUGGCUGUGGCUGUGGCACAGGCUGGCAGGUGCAGCUCUGAUUUGACCCCUAGCCUGGGAACCUCCACAUGCCACAAGUGCAGCCCUAAAAAGCAAAAAAAGAAAAGGAAGAAAUGAAAUCUCUAAGUCAUACUUUCUGUUCUCCUUUCUUGUCCUCUGCCCCAUCUGUUCCUUUCAAAUCCCUCCUCCUCUUCCUAAUUAAGCAGUCUAUGCUUUAGAUCAGACUUUCUUCAUCUUUUAUCUUUUUUUUUUGUCUUCUUAGGGCCACACUGCAGCAUAUGGAAGUUCCCAGGCUAGGGGUCCAAUCAGAGCUGUAGCCGCCAGCCCACACCACAGCCACAGCAAUGCCAGAUCCAAGCGGCAUCUGUGACCUACACCACAGCUCAUGGCAACGCUGGAUCCUUAACCCAGUGAGCAAGGCCAGGGAUCAAACCCAUGUCCUCAUGGAUGCUAGUCGGGUUCCUUAACCACUGAGCCCCGACGGGAACUCCUUCAUCUUUUAUUAUUAUUAUUAUCCCAAGUUUCCUACCUGGUCACCCGGCCUCGGUCUCCCUGACCUAAUCUACCCUCUACAAGGCACUGGGGAAAUUUUGUAAUACGUAAACCUGACCAAUCAUACACCUGCUUCCCAGUUAACGUUUACUGAGCCUUGUAUACCAGGCACUAU